ensembl:lncRNA
AGACGGGUGACACACAGCUCUGCAGUGUGGGGCAGAGAGGCGGCGGCUCUGCUGCCCUUCACAGGAAGGUCCCUGGGAUCCAGCUCCCCUGAGAGGAAGAUAAGAUGGGUGGAGCAUGGCUGGAAGCAGAAUUCCUGGCAGAGGCGCCCUGCUACUGGCUGCCAUCCUUCAAGGCUCCACUCAAAUGCCACCUCCUCCUUAAAGCCUUCUUGGAUUCAUCCUUGGCUCCCUGGAUCAAGAGGCGCUCCUGGGGAGCCUGGCUACAUCCUCCUGCUAAUAGACCUGGGCUGGUGGGGAGCUCGGGGUCACGUGCAGGCUGCUCUUCUCUGGCCCUCACGGUGGCUGAGUGCCAGAAGCAGCCUGGCUGGGGUGUCGACUGUCAAGGACGGCCUUCGGGGCCCCUGGGGACACCCUGGGCUGGGAGCUGCUGCCCAGAGCCUGAGGAGCACUGGCUAUUUCAGUGCCUGCCGGCACCCAACUCAUACCGCCCACACCCUUGGAUGUUUGCAUGUCCCUCAGUCUCCUCCUUGCAGGAGUCCUGUCCCAGGCAGAUGGCAGGCAGGACAGAUGUGUGGGCCGCUCCCGCCUCAAACCUACAGGAUCAGCCGUGGGGGCUGCCUCAGCCCUGCCCAGCUGCGGUCACUCGCUCUGGAGGAAGCGGAACCGAGGCCUCCAGCUCACAGCCGCAGAGCCCCCACUUCCUGUCAGGCUGAUGGAUGAAGGAGCCCCCACUCGCUGUCAGGCCGACGGACAGGAGGAGCCCCCACUUCCUGUCAGGCUGGUGGAUGAAGGAGCCCCGACUUCCUGUCAGGCUGACGGACAGGAGGAGCCCCCAGUUCCUCUCAGGCUGAUGGAUGAAGAGCCCCGACUUCCUGUCAGGCUGACCGACAGGAGGAGCCCCCACUUCCUGUCAGGCUGACAGACAGUAGGAGCCCCCACUUCCUGUCAGGCUGAUGGACAGAAGGAGCCCUGACUUCCUGUCAGGCUGGUGGAUGAAGGAGCCCCCACUCGCUGUCAGGCUGACAGACAGGAGGAGCCCCCAGUUCCUGUCAGGCUGAUGGAUGAAGGAGCCCCCACUUCCUGUCAGGCUGACCGACAGGAGGAGCCCCCACUUCCUGUCAGGCUGACGGACAGUAGGAGCCCCCACUCGCUGUCAGGCUGAUGGACAGGAGGAGCCCCCAGUUCUGUCAGGCUGAUGGACAGGAGGAGCCCCCAGUUCCUGGCAGGCUGACGGACGGGAGGAGCCCCUUCUUCCUGUCAGGCUGAUGGAUGAAGGAGCCCCCACUCACUGUCAGGCUGACGGACAGUAGGAGCCCCCACUCGCUGUCAGGCUGAUGGAUGGGAGGAGCCCCUACUCACUGUCAGGCUGAUGGACGGGAGGAGCCCCCACUUGCUGUCAGGCUGAUGGAUGAAGGAGCCCCUACUCACUGUCAGGCUGAUGGACGGGAGGAGCCCCCACUUCCUGUCAGGCUGGUGGGUGAAGGAGCCCCCACUCCCUGUCAGGCUGGUGGACAGAACCACCAGCCCGGUGCUCAGAGCCCUGACCUCCAGGAGCUCACCUCUCUGGGCUGUGGCUUCACUGUCUGUCUUGGGAUCACUCGCUUUGUGGGAAUAGGGAGCUACAGCAGACUAUCCUCCUGGGAUACUGAGACCAGGGCCGGGGAGACCUGACUCACACCCCGCACACACUAGGAAGAGUCAGGCCGGAUUUGGGCAGGGUCUCCCGGGGGCUGAGCUGCCCUUGCCCAGGACCCCACAGCUGCUCUGGAGUUCAGGGUCCUAGUCAGACCCUCGGUGACAUUGGAGGCCUCUUCCCGGCCACGUGGGGCCCAGCGGCCUAGUCGUGGUCAGAAGGCGUGAGGCUCCCUGAGCUGUGUGGAAGAGCUGUGUGCGGUGGGGAAGUCAGGCUGCCUUCAGAAUCCGGGUGGUCCUGACUCCCGGGGUCUCUCGGGAGACAGAGCGGGGCCAGGCUGGGCCGGACUCUGACGUCUGCAGAUGGAGCACGUUGCUGGACUCCAGGGGAGGCUUUCUCAUGGCCUGCAUCUGCCUCUGCCCGUCAGCUUUGGCAGAGGGAGCUGGUGGGGAGUACAGACUUAUCUAUAACCUGUUAUCUGCCGGGGAAAGCGCUUUGUAGUUCCGGGGAGGGCCCUGGUGGUGGUGAGGGAGCCUGCUGGCAGAGCCCUCUCUCCAUCAUCAAGGCUGGACUCGCCUGCAGCCUGACCCUGCUCUCAUCUCGCACGAGGGUGGGCGUCAUUUAAGCAUCUCCUGGUGGGUUUCUCCAGCCCAGAGUUUAUUAGGGUAACGUCGGAGCAGAAGUGACCUGGGCGGAUUCGCCUCUGAAAGGAUCACUGACUGUGCAGUCUGGGGGUGCAUGGGAUAAAGGGAAGGGGUGGGGCUGCGGCUGGCUCGCAGGCGAGGACUGGAGACUGGUCAAGUUUCAGAGAGUCAGUUGACAAGGCUUCCUGCCCGCUCAGAGGUACAGAGUAAGAGAGAGUUCACGGUUGGCUCUGAGACUCCUGGGCCUAGCAGUAGGGGUGGGGUGAUGGUGUCCCCAGAACUCAGAGGUAGGUCUCGGGGUUCGUCUUGGUUGGGGAGGUGCUGGCCUGAAGGGCCCUGGGGUUCAGAAGGGAGCUCUGGGCUGGAGACCCCACUGCAGGAUGGUCAGCGUGGAGGCCAUGUGGGAGCCUGCAAGGCUGGGGGUGGCAGACCGUCCAGGGAGGGGAGACGGGAACAGCCGUGGACCCAGCAGCGUGCAGACGCUGAGACUCGGCCUCCAGGGAGGAUGGCCAUCCCAGGACCGGCCUGGUCUCCCGCCGGAGGACACAGGAAGGGGGCUCCUGUCCAGGUAAACGUGAGCUCAGUGGCCCCAGCCCAGAGGGAACCAAGAGGCUGCCGCUGUCCCCAAGCCCAGGGCUCCUUUCGCAGGGCUGCUGAGCCGGGGGUGGGGCACUCUGUGCUGUUACUGAGCACCUGCUGUUUACCAGGCUUGGCGUCUCUGCAGAUAGCACCCUGUGCAACCUGUCCGUCACCGGCCACAGAACACCAGCUGUAUUCAGACACAUACCCAGCUCUGCACUGAGCACUUACCUCUCGGGCAUUACUACAAACAUCACGACUCUACUUCCGCUGCCUUGCCCACUCUGUCUUGAGGCCAGUGAAGGAAGCAUUUGCUAAAGGCUGUACAACCGGCGGGAGCGGAAAUGCCCUUAAACCCAGGACUGGCUCCUCGGGCCCGGGCCCUGUCCUGCCCACGCUGGGGUGGGCCCCUGAGCCCCCACAGGGACGCGCGGAGGUGUCCAGAGGUUGCAGGGCCUCCCUUGCCCCAGGGGUGCCUGCAGGUCACAGCAGGACAGGGAUAAGACUAUCUGACGCACUUUGCUCUCUCCUGCUGAGAAAAACAACUUGGAGGCAGAGGCUGUCUCUGGCAGUCACACCCGGGCCUCAGCUCACUCCUCCAAAGGGCAGCUAAGAGUCCCCAGGGAUACAGGUGUGAGCCCCGAAUUCCAGGGUGCUCCAGGGGGCUGGAAUCAGAGGCUGCCCAGUCAGGGCAGGGCAGCCUCUCAGGGAGGCUGGGUGCAAGGAGGGGCUGUGUGGUCUCAUCAACCUGGGGGCUGAGGGCAACCCAAGGAGUUCUGGGCACUGGGUCCGCACCCCCCCGGACACAGUCAGCCCCAGGCGUGGCAGUGAGACAGAGUCCUGAGAAGUCCAGGGCUGCACGGGGGUCAGGCUGGGCUGCUGGGCGCUGCCUCCCACUGCAGAGCGAGUUUGAGACGAGGCCCUGAUCCAGCUGUACCUGACGCCGCUCACCCUGGCUCAGCCGUCCCCUGUCUCCUUGGGCACCGUGAGCUGGGUCCUUGUCACAAGAGUUCUGAUCCAAAAACCGGAUUGUGGGGCUGGGCUGACUGCUCUUCCUGUCUGGAAGCUGUCACGUUCUGGGAGAUGACAGGGAAUGGGAGGCCUCCUGUCAGUUCUCUGACCCAGGACUUGACUGACAAGGACAAAGGCAGCCUGCCCACCCACCCUUCCCCUCUGAGCCCCCAGGCCGGAUCUCCGUGCACGGGGGUGUUCAUGCAUGAAGGUGUUCGGGGGCCCCCUGUGAUUGGGGUCCGACGUGUGCAGCCGUGUCCCUGUGUGGCUGCCGAGAAGGGUGGGAUCUUCACGUCCCACAGGCACACACGGGCCCCCUGCAGAGGGGACGCCAUCGUGACAGUGACUGGCACCGCCAUCCUGCUCAGGCUGACGCAGGAGAGCGUCCUGUGACCGCAGAUGCGGGCAAGGCGGGGAGGGUGCUCCGUCCUGCCUCCCGCUCCGCGUCACCUCACCCCUCAUUCCUCUGCUUCUGUCCUCCUCUCCCGCUCCCCUGACCCCUCUUCCUUACCCCUCCUCUCCUCCCAGGCCUUCUGGCCUCAGGAGAGCUGCCUUCCACGUCCCCUGGGGUGUGCCCAGUGGGCCAGGCUGGUGUGAGGAAGCCUCUUUUACAAGGAAGUCCUGUGCCCCGGACCUUACUUGGCCCCAGAGGGCAGGACGCCUGCCCCCAGGAGGAUUCACAGAGCCCCCCUGACCCAGACCAGCCCGGUGCCUCCCCCAGAUGCCAGCCCACCAGGCUGCCGACGCUGCCACAAGACGGCCCUGUCCUCCGACGCAGCAGUCCUGGAACCGAGGUACUGGCGUCCUGUUUUCCCUGAUGGGGAAACUGAGGCUUGGAGCUGUGAUAUGAUUUGCCCCGUCAUAGGGUGAGCAAGAGGCUGGGUCUGAAGCCAGCCCUGGGAUGGCUUCCUGGAGGAGGAGGGCCAGCUGGCGAAGCUCUGUUCACUGAACUCGAGGCCCAGGGAGGUUAGAACGGCUGCUCCCAGCCCAGAACCCCGGUUUCUGAUCUCACAUGGCUCGUUCCAAAUAGAAGCGACUGAGUUUCUUCAACAAGAAGAUUAACUCAUUGCAGGACUGAGAGAAAACGAUGCCAGACAAGCCUCCCCCCGCAAGCGCCCCUCACGGACAGUGCCCUGUCUCUGCCAACACUGAGAAGAGCAGGGCGCCCCAAACCCGGUGGAGAAAACAGAGAGCUCUGAAAGUUCUCUGUGUCCUAGAAGUUUGAUCAACCAUGGGAAAGCUAGAAAAUAGGAAUUGGCAGUUUUUCAUAACUUUCAUUUUGAAACAUUUCGACCUUUCGGAAAAGUGGUAAGAAGAGUCCAACGAGCGGCCAGACGCCCUUCAGCCGCAUCCAGCGCCCGCCCGCCUCCCCGUGUGCGCACCGCCAGCCAGCCACCGUCACCCGUCUGUCAUCUCCCGGUCUCCACCCAGGGAUGCGUGUGCCGUCCUCCUGUGCGUGCACAUGUGCAUCUGUCCAUCAGCUGCCAGCGCCACUGCCCGCUCCCCGAGCCACGUGAGAACCAGCUUUGGCAUCCUGACCUUUCACCUGCAGUAAUACCACGGUCUCCAAGGACAACAGAGUCCGCCCAUGUCACUGUGACACCGUCACCACACCCAGGAGUUUUUCCUGGAUACAGUCACCUAAUGUUGGUCCCACGGACCCAGCUGCGUCCCGCGAGCUACUUGCCGGUCUAGACGGAGGAGUCAGUCCAGGACUGGGAGCUGCGGUGACCUCCAGCUCUCUCCGUGUUCUGUUCACGGCGGUGAUGUUUCCGAGGGGUCAGGAGCAGGUAUCUGCUGGAGUCUCUCUGAACCUGGGUGUGUCCUCCCCUCCUCAAGAAUGGUUUUGGUGAGAACGCUGCAGUGGAGGGCGGGGGCCUCCCCCAAGACAUACAUGGUGAAGUUUGUUCCAAAAUGUUUGCUUACCAACUUAGUUUCUUAUUCCUUGAAAUGUACUUCGCGGCAAGGAGAAGUGAGGAUUUAAUCAGGUAGUUUCUCUAACCUGCCCCAGUGGCACUGAGUGAAGGACUCUUUCAACGUCUCUCGUUUCCUCCUCUGGAGUCCCUUUAGCUUUUCCGGGCUCUGCGUGUCCUGGCCCAUUUGUCCCGAGCUCCAUGCUGUUCUGAUGACCCCAGCACCCUGCCUUCCUCUUCACGCUCAGAGCCCGUGCACCUCUUUGUUUUGGGAGCGUGGGUGCUCACCCUGCAGCCCCGCCUCUUCAGGGCACUCUGAUGUCCUCCCCACCCCCCUCCCCCGCCUGUGAGCCAAGGUC